rnacentral:rRNA from 1 species
AUUGAACGCUGGCGGCAGGCCUAACACAUGCGAGUCGAGCGGAUGAAGGGAGCUUGCUCCUGGAUUCAGCGGCGGACGGGUGAGUAAUGCCUAGGAAUCUGCCUGGUAGUGGGGGAUAACGUCUGGAAACGGGCGCUAAUACCGCAUACGUCCUGAGGGAGAAAGUGGGGGAUCUUCGGACCUCACGCUAUCAGAUGAGCCUAGGUCGGAUUAGCUAGUUGGUGGGGUAAAGGCCUACCAAGGCGACGAUCCGUAACUGGUCUGAGAGGAUGAUCAGUCACACUGGAACUGAGACACGGUCCAGACUCCUACGGGAGGCAGCAGUGGGGAAUAUUGGACAAUGGGCGAAAGCCUGAUCCAGCCAUGCCGCGUGUGUGAAGAAGGUCUUCGGAUUGUAAAGCACUUUAAGUUGGGAGGAAGGGCAGUAAGUUAAUACCUUGCUGUUUUGACGUUACCAACAGAAUAAGCACCGGCUAACUUCGUG